AAUUUGCUCACUGGAAAGUUUAUACAUGGGCAACCCAAAAUUAGGUAGAAAUUUGAACAUGGCGAUUACCCAUAAUUUGAGUUGGUCGCUGUGAACUUCGUGUUGGGUAGGAAUUGAAUAAUGACGUCUACUCAAAUUCAAGUUCAUCGCUUUGUACUUAUAUUUUGGGUAGUCCAUUUCAAACAAAGUAGUAGGUAAUGUUUUUGACAGCCAUUGUUAUUGUUGUGAAUCAAAUUGCAUGAAGUGGCUCUGGAAAAGAAUGGUAAUUAUAAUGCAUAAUGCAAUAAUUUCAACUAAAAUUAAUGAUUAAUUUAUUUCAGCCUAGAAACUUACACUCAGGCAAAAAAUACAGCGAAUUUCACAUGAAUAUCGUAUAAUUUUUAGCCACAAGCAGCACGUAUGUAAAUCAUAAGAUUAUCUUAUGAAACGGCAUUUAUUUGGUCAAAUCGGUUUGCAAUGAUUUCAUGUUCCAUAAGGCAUCUUUGAAUUAUCAUAAGACAAUAUCAUACAUUUCUCUUAUGUUUAUGAGAAUCAUAAGAUGCUCGUAUGAAACUCGAACGACUGACAUAUGCAAUAAAUUGUAAAAUGUAAAGGUAAUCAUACAAGUCGUAUGUUUUCCAUAUUAAUCUUAUGAAAUCAUAGUUUUGUUACUUUUCUAGUCAUCAUAAGAUGAAUCUUAUGAAUUUCGCUAUGCAUUUUGCCUUAGCGUAGGAUAAAGCAAUUAGCGCUGGAUCUAAAACAUGAGUCGAUGAUGAUCGAGUUGCACUUUUUGUUGCCAACGAACGGAAAACAAAUAAAUAAUUGAAGAAAUUUUUCUCCUCAAAAUAUUUGAUUAUUUCUGCUGCCUCUGCACUCCUUGCUGUCGUUCGAUUCCGUUCACGUGGCUUCGACGUGCUGCCUCGUGGAUCGGCAACUCGUUGGUAGCGAGCCGCGUGGCUUGUUUCGAUAUUCCACCUGUUGCUAUGGGCCUUGGUUGCCUCUAGAUGACCUCGCAUCUGCGUGGUGACUUCAGGAAACUAUUCAGUCAUGUCAAACUGAGGCUUCCAAUAGUCAACACCGGUGAAACAACGUCAUCUCGGUUAUUGACUUCAGAUACAUCGAGCAAUACGGAACAUUUGAACAAGACUGUAGCUUACCCGAGCUCCGAGCCACUACAAUUCCAUUUGACUUUAGUCAUACCGGCUGGAAUAUAAUAUAGAAUUCUGGCUGUCUAAGAGACAAGUAUUUUAAUUGUGCAUUCAUUUUUUUUUGUUUUUUGUUGAUGAUUAAUUCAUUUCAAAUAUAUUUGUAGUUGGGACUAUGGCCACAUUUGCAAUUAUGGUGCCACUGACAUAUGAGCAAGCGUAUGGGGGAUAGACCACUAGUGAAUAAUUGUUCUUAAACCUGAGGGGUAACCACCCAUAUUGAUGGUGGUUUUAAGUGUUUUGUUACCAGCCGCCAUCUUGGAUUUCAAA